CUGGUCGGACAUCAGGAGGUUAGUGCAAUGGCAUAAGCCAGCUUGACUGCGAGCGUGACGGCGCGAGCAGGUGCGAAAGCAGGUCAUAGUGAUCCGGUGGUUCUGAAUGGAAGGGCCAUCGCUCAACGGAUAAAAGGUACUCCGGGGAUAACAGGCUGAUACCGCCCAAGAGUUCAUAUCGACGGCGGUGUUUGGCACCUCGAUGUCGGCUCAUCACAUCCUGGGGCUGAAGUAGGUCCCAAGGGUAUGGCUGUUCGCCAUUUAAAGUGGUACGCGAGCUGGGUUUAGAACGUCGUGAGACAGUUCGGUCCCUAUCUGCCGUGGGCGCUGGAGAACUGAGGGGGGCUGCUCCUAGUACGAGAGGACCGGAGUGGACGCAUCACUGGUGUUCGGGUUGUCAUGCCAAUGGCACUGCCCGGUAGCUAAAUGCGGAAGAGAUAAGUGCUGAAAGCAUCUAAGCACGAAACUUGCCCCGAGAUGAGUUCUCCCUGACCCUUUAAGGGUC
rnacentral:rRNA from 1 species